rnacentral:lncRNA from 1 species
UUUUGUCUUAAAAAGACCCACAAGAUUCCCAAAAUUGCUAAACUCAAGAAUCCUAUUAUAACAAUCUUUGAUCGAUAACCCGUGCUUAUGCCUCCACCUAACAAAGCGAUCCUCUUCAUGGAUGUUAGGCUUUACAUCCUGCAAAAUUUGCAUUAUUUCGUCUAACAACAAAGCAUCAACAUUAUUCAAAAUCACACCAUUAAAGCCAAUAUCACACUCCAAAGAAUCAUUUCUCCAAACCCCCGCAUCACCCACUUUAAGAAAAUUCGGUUAACA